ensembl:snoRNA SNORA70 Small nucleolar RNA SNORA70
CUGCCGCUUAUUAAGCCGACCGGUUCCGCUGCGGUGCGGUUCUGGUGUGCAAUGGCUGCAGACAGUGACUCUGUGGUUGUGUAUGAGGCCAGCUGGGAAGUGCUGGCCCCUUUAAGGGACCACUGAGACAAAA